UACGAAGGGGGCUAGCGUUGUUCGGAUUUACUGGGCGUAAAGCGCACGUAGGCGGAUCGUUAAGUCGGGGGGUGAAAUCCUGGAGCUCAACUCCAGAACUGCCUUCGAUACUGGCGAUCUUGAGUCCGGAAGAGGUGAGUGGAACUCCUAGUGUAGAGGUGGAAUUCGUAGAUAUUAGGAAGAACACAGUGGCGAAGGCGGCUCACUGGUCCGGUACUGACGCUGAGGUGCGAAAGCGUGGGGAGCAAACAGG
rnacentral:rRNA from 1 species